AACGAACGCUGGCGGCAUGCCUAACACAUGCAAGUCGAACGAGACCUUCGGGUCUAGUGGCGCACGGGUGCGUAACACGUGGGAAUUUGCCUCGGGGUAUGGAAUAACUCAGGGAAACUUGAGCUAAUACCAUAUAAUGUCUUCGGACCAAAGAUUUAUCGCCCUGAGAUAAGCCCGCGUAGGAUUAGCUAGUUGGUGGGGUAAAGGCUCACCAAGGCGACGAUCCUUAGCUGGUCUGAGAGGAUGAUCAGCCACACUGGGACUGAGACACGGGCCCAGACUCCUACGGGAGGCAGCAGUGGGGAAUAUUGGACAAUGGGCGAAAGCCUGAUCCAGCAAUGCCGCGUGAGUGAUGAAGGCCUUCGGUUGUAAGCUCUUUACUUCGGGUACGAGUAAUGACGGUACCGAGAG
rnacentral:rRNA from 1 species